rnacentral:rRNA from 1 species
UGCCAGCCUCCGCUGUACUCCUAAUUGGGCUAUCGUUGUUCGUAAUUACUGGGCGUAAAGCGCACGUAGGCGGACUUUUAAGUCAGAUGUGAAAUCCCGGGGCUCAACCUCGGAACUGCAUUUGAAACUGGAAGUCUGGAGUUCAGGAGAGGUUAGCGGAAUACCGAGUGUAGAGGUGAAAUUCGUAGAUAUUCGGUGGAACACCAGUGGCGAAGGCGGCUAACUGGACUGAUACUUACGCUGAGGUGCGAAAGUGUGGGGAGCAAACAGGAUUAGAUA